UAGAAUUUUAUUUCAGCCAUCGUUGAAGCUCCCUAGUCAUUGAUAUUUUCCACCUUCCCCAAAUUCCAGAUUUUUGUUGCUGAUUCAUAAGGAAUUUAGCGUCCACCGCGGAGGUCCUAUCCAUUUAUCUUCUCACGCUCUCAGCUAGGAUAUUUAUCACCGCUUAGCUCUAUUCCAAAAUUUUAUCCAGCCGUUGGCUUCUUAAAGAAAUUCGACGACCACUCCUUAGAAGCCUCCGACGUACGACUCUGCCUGCUCCUCUUCGCUGUGUGGCACUGCUCCCCUCGCGAGCUCCCUCAGCGCGCUUCCAUGUCCACGCUCCGUCGACCUAGCGCUCGGUCUCGCUACACCAUCGGUGACCGAGCUCAUCUACUUCAACGCCAACCAUGCCUCUUGUUGGAGCGAAGGCAGAAACGCCACCCUUCGCUCGAAGUCUCCGCUGCUUAGCCGCUGCUCUGACAGACAAAGCAGAUAGGGACACCCUUCGCUUGAUCGGCACCAGACGAAGACCGGCGACGAAGGCAUCCCACAGUGCGGCCUCGUCCAGCUCAGAGGCCCACGUGCGUUCCGGCCCAUUAUAACGGGCCCUGCGUGGCCGCCGCGUGUUACGGGCCUAAUUUGUAAAGGCAUCCCUUUAAUUACAGUCUGUAACCCUGCUUUAUGGGAAUAUUUUGGGAUAACCUAGGUAGCUGAGGGCACAUGCGUCCUUAACACAAGCGCUGGACGUUCAGGUACCUAUAAAUACCCCCGCACAGUGCUCGUGAGAGGCCUGGUUAAUAGAGCUAUUUGCUAUCUCACGCGUAACCCAACUGUCCAUACUGUCCACCCCUGUUGGCCUUCUUGCGACUGAUAGCAAGUUCCAACAUUUGGCGCCCACCGUUCGUGCUACGACAAAAUCACCCGCGAUGGCACCCAAGAGAGCUAACCCGAAGGCUGACGAGACUGCGAAGGCAGCACUGCUUGCUGCAAGAAAGGGCAAGGCCCUCGUCAUCACCCAAUCCACCCACCAAGAGCCCACUGAAGACAAUGUUCCCCGCACCUGCGAAGACGACACCUUCCGCACCUGCGGGCCCGAAGGACAAUCGCAGCCGCCCCCAGGCUUCGCCCCACUGGAAGGCGCGGAUCUCACCGAGGACGGCGAGGUCCUCGGCGUCUCAACAGAAGAACAGCUACAGCUGCGCGCCCUGCGCCUCAAGAACCGCAAUCUCCAGAGGCAGAAAGAGAUACUGGAGGCCAAGCGCCAGCGUGUGUCCGCACUAGCCAAGGUGCAGCAAAUGAUACGCGACGAGGAGCAGAAGGCCCAAGACCUCGAGCGCGAGAUCGCGCUGAUGCAGCGCGAAGGCCACCUCGGUCUACAGCAAGAGCCGCCCCUCCAGCAGCGCGCGCAACCGGAAGACACGCGCUAAGGCCACCUCGGCCUGCAGCAUGGCCCACCCCUGCAACACCGAGCGCAGCCGGAGAACCCGCGUUUCCCCCAGCAUGACUACACCUUCCAGCACGGCGCGCCAUUCCAAGGGGUCAACUACCUCGACGAGCGAAGUCCCCUGGCGCCACACCUACAAGUGACGCCUUGGCCAGCUAACUUCCGAGCAGGGACCUAUCCCAAGUACAACGGCAGCACCGACCCGGCGCAAUACAUAAUGAGUUAUCAGGUCGCCGUUGCAUCCGCCGGAGGGGACGACGCCACAAUGGCGAAGUCUUUCAUCAUCGCCCUAGAGGGCCCAGCACUCACCUGGUUCACCAGAUUGCCUCCGCUGUCCAUUGAUUCAUGGAGAAGUCUCAGGGACAAGUUCCUGCUCAACUUCCAAGGGUACCGCCCAGACACCGACGCCUUGGCCGAGCUCUCGCUUUGCAAGCAGCUGGAAAAGGAGACUCUGCGGGAGUAUUAACACUCAAGUCACAGCUGCCCUCCGUCGAUGAUCAGAUCGCUAUCCACUACGUCAUCAGUGGCCUUCGUGUCGGCGUCCUCUACAGUCAUUGUAUCAGAGAUCCACCCAAAAACCUCCAGGAGCUAUAUCAGCUCUUUGAAAAAUAUGCCAAAUCCGAAGAGCUCCACCAGCGCAAGGUUGAGUCACAGCGGAAGCCCAAAGAUGCCCCGCAGUCCAGCCGCACAUGGACGAGGACUCCGCAGCCAGACUCCGGUCGAGACGGCCGCAGUCAGCAGCAAGUGCACAACAUCGCCAACUAGCAUCCCGCUGCUGACCCCCUCGCCGCCAGGAAUAUCCCCCCCAAGGCCGCGGAAAUGGAACUCGUGGCAGGGCCGAGGGCGCGCACAGCCGCCGCGCCGAUUCUACUGCCUUUUUCACGGCGAAGACUGCGCCCACCAAACCAAAGACUGCCCCGAAACGAAGGCCACCAGAGACAGAAUGGCACGGGCGCAGCCAGCCGACAACCCCAGAAUUGUCGCGCACAACUACCAGCAACCCCCUGCACCAUAUAUCCACGCCCCCGCUCCGCAUCCACCGCACCACGCUUACCAACACCAUUAGGAAGUACAAAUCGUACCUCCUCCACCCCCACCUCCACACCAGCAACAUCAAAACAUCCCCCAUGCUCCAAAGCAGGAAGACUUCGCCGAUCAACCAUAUCGCGGAGUCAUUCACAUGAUAACAGGGGGGUCAAGCACUGACUUCGACACCAAGCGGCAGAAGCGGGACCACUACCGCAGCAUCAACCAUGUCGCCGUCACUGGCCCAGUCGUGCAGACAAAGUGGUCCCACAUACCGCUAACCUUCGACGCACGAGACGUCGACCUGCGCAGCGCCCCCCACAUCGACGCCAUGGUCAUCACUUGCAGCGUGGCAGGCUGGGACUUACACAAAGUCCUAGUCGACAACGGCAGUCAGGCGGACAUCAUCUUCCUCCACGCCUUCGACCGCAUGGGUAUAAGCCACAGCCUGCUCAAGCCUUCGGACAACCCGUUGUAUGGCUUCGGCGGCAAGGGCACCUUUCCCGUUGGCAAAAUAGAGUUGCCCCUCUCCUUCGGUGUAGCACCCAGUGCCCGAAGUGAGCAAGUAACCUUCGACAUUGUCGACAUGGUAUAUCCAUACAACGCCAUCAUGGGCCGGGGCUCCAUCAAUAAGUUCGAAGCUGCCAUCCACGGACUGUACCUAUGUAUGAAGAUACCAGGUCCGCUAGGCGCUAUUACGAUCUACGUCAACCAGCAGACAGCGCGCAACAUAGAGCGGGACUUCGUGCCUGGUCAGAGGAACGUGCACUGUCUCACGACCCAGCGCGAGGUCCCUGUGCCCGCCAGCCCAACCGAUAAGCUGCAUGACAAGGCACAGUUGCAGAGCCAAGACGGGACCAAGACUGUCCCCCUCGAUCAGGCCAUGCCCAAGCAGACAGUCACUGUCAGCGAAGACCUUACCUCACAUGAAGAAGAGAAGCUUCUCUGCUGCCUGGCCAAGAAUAAAGAUGUCUUCGCCUGGUCCGCCCUCGACCUGGUCGGAGUCAGCCGAUCCAUAAUUGAGCACAGCUUGGGAAUUGACCCUUCGGUGCGACCAAAAAAGCAAAGGCUUCGCAAAAUGUCCGACGAAAAGACAGAGGCCGCCAAGGCGGAGGUGCACCGCCUCCUAGAAGCUAAAUUCAUCGAGCCAGUGGCUUACCCCACGUGGCUCUCCAAUGUCGUAAUGGUGCAGAAAAAAGCGGGAAAUGGCGAAUGUGCAUAGACUUCACCAGUCUCAAUAAGGCCUGCCCAAAGGACAACUUCCCGUUGCCGCGGAUCGACAAAAUAGUCGAUAGCGCGGCCGGAUGCGAGGUCAUGUCACUCCUCGACUGCUUCUCCGGCUAUCACCAGAUAUACAUGAAGGAGGAAGACAAGGCUAGCACCAGCUUUAUAACACCCUUCGGCACUUAUUGCUUCAUCAGAAUGCCGGAGGGACUCAAGAAUGCCGGGUCCACCUUCUCCAGACUCACCAAAACAGUACUCGAAGGGCAGGUUGGCAGAAACAUAUUUACAUAUGUGGACGACAUCGUCGUCGCCAGCAAGAAUAAGGAGGACCAUCUCGCCGACCUCGCCGAGACAUUCGCGAACAUGCGAGAUGCACGACUCCGCCUAAACCCGGAAAAGUGCGUCUUCGGUGUUCGCCAGGGCAAGAUAUUGGGCUACCUGGUGUCACACCGCGGCAUCGAGGCCAACCCAACCAAGAUCCAGGCCAUCGUCGACAUGUCGCCUCCGCAGUCCGCCAGGGACGUCCAGCGUCUGACAGGCAGAUUGGCCACUCUCAACAGAUUCAUCUCCAGGUCCGCCGAGCGAAGUCUCCCCUUCCUCAAAACACUCCGCGGUGCAAAAGACUUCGCCUGGGGACCGGAGCAAGCAACGGCCUUCGCCUCACUAAAACAGUACCUGUCGGAGCUGGCCAUCCUCACGAGCCCCGACUCCUCGCUCCCCCUGUUGCUCUAUGUCGCGGCUUCGCCGCACGCGGUCAGCGCGGCACUAGUGCAGGAGCAGACAGUUGAGGGCGCGGUCAGACAGUGCCCUGUUUACUAUGUCUCCGAGGUCCUGACACCGUCCAAAUGCAACAUGACAGAGCUGGAGAAGAUCGCCUACGCAGUUGUUAUGUCUUCGCGCAAACUGCGCCAUUACUUUGAAGCAUUCAAGGUCCGAGUCACCUCAGACAGGGGGCUCGGCGAACUAUUCAGAAACCCGGAGGCAUCGGUGAGGAUUGCCAAGUGGGCAGCCGAACUCUCCGGCUACCACAUCACCUUCGAGCCCAGGACAGCCAUCAAGUCACAAGUCCUGGCAGACUUCGUCGUCGACUGGACUGGGCCAAUAACACAGCCGGACCCGUCCACAGAGAAGGUUUGGACCAUCCAUUGCGACGGCGCAUGGUGCCAUGCGGGGGCAGGCGUCGCUGCAGUCGUCACCUCACCAGCCGGAGUCAAACACAGAUAUGCAGCACGCCUCAGCUUCGCUCUGGAAUCCGACAGAUGCACAAACAAUAUAGCAGAGUAUGAAGCGGUUAUCCUGGGCCUCCGCAAGCUAAGGGCCCUCGGAGUCACCACAUGUAUCAUCAAAACAGACUCCAAGAUAGUUGCCGGCCAGGUCGAGAAGGACUAUGCAGCAAAAGACCCCGCGCUCAUGCAAUACCUCGCGGCCAUCCGAAGUCUCGAGAGACAGUUCAAGGGAUUCACCUUGCAGCAUGUGGAUAGGGCCAAGAACGAGGAGGCCGAUGCACUGGCCAAGGCUGCCGCCAGGGGCGAGCCCUUGCCCUCCGACGUGUUCUUUCACACCAUCGGCACGCCAGCCGUCCGGAGCCCCGAAGGGCUCCAAAUAACUAAUGACAGCGAGGGCCACCGCAUAGUCAACCUAAUCAUGACCGAAGACUGGCGGGCACCAAUAACCCUGUUCCUACAGGGGUACUAUCAUCCAACCGACGUCAGUGAAGCCAAGCGCCUCAGACAUCGAAGCCGGGACUUCGCACUGAUUGAGGGCCAACUCUACAAGAAAGGGGUCAGUCAGCCAAUGCUUAAGUGCGUCACCGAAACCGAAGGCAUGCAGAUCCUACGUGAAGUCCACAGUGGCACGUGCGGUUCGCACGCAUGGCCAAGGGCCCUAGCUGCCAAGGUGAUCCGCCAAGGGUUUUACUGGCCCGCAAUGAUCUGCGUCGCAAAUCGGGUCACAAGGUCCUGCGAAGCCUGCCAGAAGUUUUCUCCUCGGUCAGGCAGCCCCUCGCAGUAUACAAAGCUGAUUGCCCAUACAUGGCCUCUCCAGCGCUGGGGCCUGGACAUCGUCGGGCCCCUGCCCACCGCUCAGGGGAACCUCAAGUUCGCCUUCGUAGCCGUCGAAUACUUCACCAAAUGGAUCGAAGCGAGGGCUGUUUCUACAAUAACAUCAAAGACUGCCCAGAAAUUCUUCUGGCAAAACAUUGUUUGCCGCUUCGGAGUACCGUCCGAGCUAACAGUUGACAACGGCAAGCAGUUUGACAGCCAAGAUUUCAAGGAUUUUUGUUUCUCCAUCGGCACCAAGCUUGCCUUCGCUUCAGUCUAUCAUCCGCAACCCAACGGGGUCGUGGAGCGCGCCAAUGGGAAAAUCUUCACAGCUGUCAAGAAGAUGCUCCUCGAUGAAAAAAAGGCAGAUGGACCGAAUUGUUACCGGAGGCAGUCUGGGCGCUAAACACAACUGAGUGCAGGGCGACUGGGUUCACUCCUUUCCACCUUCUAUACGGAUCGGAGGCCAUGACCCCGCAAGAAAUAAAGCAUGGGUCCCCGCGUACAGUUCCGUCAGCCGUCCCCGACGUGGACGAGCCAACUUCAAAAGAUCUCAUUGACGGAGACCGGGUCUUCGCCCUACAGGCCCUAAACAAAUACCAAGCCCAGACCAAAGCAUGGCGCGACCACGCAGUCAUCCCGAGGGAGUUCAGCGAGGGGGACCUCGUGCUCGUCUGAACAGCUCGGACGGAGUCCAGGGGCAAGCUGGAGCCCAAGUGGCAGGGCCCCUUUAUAGUCAAGACAAAAGCUUCCCCCAGCGCUUACAAGCUCACAACGCCAAACGGCGAGGACCUGGAGCACUCCUGGAACAUCGACAACCUUCGCAAAUUUUUUGUUUGACUCAUUAGGGCUGAUUUCGCCCUUGUAAUUCGCCAAAAACAAUCUUGUACCUGCCCGCACUCUUUUCCUCCCGGGGGGUGAGGUUUUUAACGAGGCGGAGCCAUGUAAUAUAUGUGUGAAAAAUCCCUCGUAAAAACAUGCGUCGAAAAAAGACCGCGACGACGGUCUUCGACAUUCGACCAAUUCGAGGUCACCGCGAGGCUAAGCGCUAGCCACCCUCGCGUGCGACAAAUCCGCGUAGAAGUCGCCUAAGGGUGCAGCCGGACUAGCACAACAAGUGCGAAAAAACAUGAAGUCUAUCGCGAAGACUAUCCGCGCAGAAGUCGCCUGAGGGUGCAGCCGGACUAGCACAACAAGUGCGAAAAAACACGAAGUCUAUCUCGAAGACUAUCCGCGCAGAAGUCGCCUAAGGGUGCAGCCGGACUAGCACAACAAGUGCGAAAAAACACGAAGUCUAUCGCGAAGACUAUCCGCGCAGAAGUCGCCUAAGGGUGCAGCCGGACUAGCACAACAAGUGCGACAAACACGAAGUCUAUCGCGAGGACUAUCCGCGCAGAAGUCGCCUAAGGGUGCAGCCGGAAUAGCACAACAAGUGCGAAAAAACCCGAAGUCUACCGCGAAGACUAUCCACGCAGAAGCCGCCUAAAAGGCGCAGCCGAACUAGUACAACAAAAGCAGAAACGACAGCAUCAAACCGUCCGCGUUAAGACCGACUAUAACCACACCAGCACAGCAUAACAAAACAUACCAGACAAAGUACACAAUGCCUCCGCAGGCACAGGCAAGCGAGGGCACACAACUUCAUCGUACAAGCCUUUACACAUAUACACGCGAGGGCGCCACACUCUACAUCGGCUCAACCUUAGGAAUAAUUCCCAUCUCCCUAUAAUUAAAUAACAUUAUCCUAAGCUCCUCACCCGCAAAAAGACUCCGCAGUUCCCCUUCCCCUGUACUCGCGGCGGCCGGCAAAGACAACAGUUCCUGCCGACCAGCCCUACUCACACGAAGCCGAGACCUUUCCUCCGUACUAACUCUACGCUUUGCAACCGCCCUUCGCCGUCGGCGCCCGGUGCUAGGACCUGGCACAUCUUGCGCGUCCGCAGCGUGCGGCGAGGUCUCCGCCGCAGCCACAUCCAAAGCCGCGAAAUAGUCCAAAUCCUCCUCCGACGACUCCUCAGUCCACUCAACCGAGCUCCCAGAAUUAGCAACAUCAAAAAACUCAGAAAAUUCAGAUCCAGAUCCACCACAUUCAUUACCACCUUCCGCGGUCGAAGCCGCCAAAAAUUUAGCAGUAGCGGUUGCGUGCGCAGGCCCAAAAUCUUGAACCUGCGCAGCAACCAAAAUUCAGUAACAUAUCCAAAAUUCCCCAACCCUAUUACACCCACUAUGCCACCUGCGAAGGCCCUGACGCUGCGGGAGCCUCCGCCGCUGGCUCCGCCGCCGCUUCUGCUGUUGUUUCCGCCGCCUCCGCCGCGGGAUCUUCAGCACUCGGCACAGCAGCUGCGGGGGCAUCAGGGGCGCCUUCGGCCACCUUUGGGGGCAGGUCUUCGCCGGCCGCAGCAGAUGUGGGGGCAGCCGUCGCGAUCGCCGCGGUCUCCGGGGUUGGCUCCAGGGCGACCCCGGACACGGCCUCCGCAGGGGUCGGCUCCGGGUCAGGCAGCGCGCUGUUCAGCGCCCCGAGGUCGUCCACCCGCUCGCCACGCAACGCCUAAGACAAAACACGCAAGAUUCAACAAACACACGCACACCCCACAUCCAACAAACGCCAAACAAACGAAAAUAUUACCUGAGCCAUCGCCGUCUCCGCCCGCUCCCUGACCACCUCGCGACCGUGCGGACCCCACAUCCGGUCAUAGAGGGCCCCGGCAGAAUCCUUCACCACGAGGUCUUCAACCUUAUAGACAUCUCGAUCAAAAUCUUCAUCCGCCUGGUCGAAGACCUCGAAGUGCCGGCACCCUUCGCGGGAGAGCGUGUUCAUCGCCCCCUCGCAGGUGACCAGGGAGGCGUACGACAUAAACCCCCCCACGACAGCGGGGAGUUCCUGCAGCUCCUCCUGCACCCACUGCAGACAGCGAAGCCCGGGCUCUCGGUCCGGCACCUCGAAGUCACCGGUCCGCGCACCCAGCUCACGAUAUGUAUCCAUAAGCUGCGUGCGCGUCUGUUCUGCCUCCGCACGCACCGCGGCCUCGGCCCCCUUCGCGCGGCUCUCCAGGGCGGUGAGCCGCUCCUGCAGAUGUUCGGCGAGCUCCUUGGCAAGAUUGCCCUCCGCCCGUGCCAGUUUGGCCUCCGCCUGAGCAGCCUGCUCCUUGGCGAUGGCCUCGUUGGCCUCCCUCCUCUCCGCCGCCAGUUGGCGCUGAAGGUCAGCCUUCUCCUUCUCCAGCACGACCACCUUGUCCGUCAGUUUUCGGCACUUGCUGUCGGAGGCUGAUUUCUCACGGACAGCGUCAGCAUGUUGCGUCCGAAGUCUCUCGACUUCGGCAGACACAGCUGCCGUGAGGGCCCCCGACGCAGUACGGCUGGCGAAGUCAGCCACCUGCAGAGCACAUGUAAGGCCGUUGCCCGUAAAAAAGGGGGGGAGAGUAUAGCUCAGCGGACCUGACUCACCGCCUCCGUCACCUGACUCAGCGCCUCUGUCACCCCCUUCAGCCGGCGGGUCGCUGCGCCCGCCUCGUCCAUGACAACCGCGAGGGCCGACACCUCGCCUCCGGAGCCAAGAGCCUCGCCCCUCGCCUUCGGCACUAUGCCAGCCGUCGCGAUCGCCGCGGCAGGCGCAACCAUAGCAAGUUGGCCCUCGUCCGACCCUGCAACGCACCAACGAAUUAAAAAAAACACAAGCCAGCGACUUACCACCAAGAUAGUCCUCCACACAAAUGUCGGUGGCGAAGUCGGCGACACGCUUGCCUGCCGACGACAACGCUCGGGCCGCCUUCGCGGCCUCCGCCACCCUGCUGAGCGGCGGCACAGCCUUCGACGGUUUGGAGCCUCCGGCACCCGCCGCUGCCUCUGGCGCCUUGCUAGAUGCAGGGACGCCUGACUUCGCCGCCAGCGGCGGCUUGCCUCCGCUGGGGGCCGCAUCCUUCGCCGACCCACGCUUUUGCCUCUUUGGCCUGGCUUCAACAAUCCUGAUAGCCGCCUGCCGCUUUUGUGCAGCCCCCUGGCGAUCCUUGUCCAUCACUGCCGACACAACAACAGCAAUAUUCCGCCCGUAAGGAAAAACUCUCCAUUUGCGAACCAUGCGAGAUGUAAAAACGUCCCCGCUGGCCGCGCGGGGGAUAGGAACAUUCCUAGGCCAGCAACCCCCGGUAACCUUCAGCAUCCGAGCCGAAGACUCCCGGAGCUCGGGCAAAGACAUCCUUUCCCCCGGGGCCGCGCAUGUCCUCAUCAACUCUCUAGCAAACCCAUCGGAAACCCCAAGUCCUUCCAUGGCAGUACCUAGUUUCCUCUUCUUAGAGGAUGGGGCGGCCGCCGGCGCAGGGUCGUCUUUAGUCUACACCACCGGUUUCUUCCCCCGGCGGUCCGCGUCGUCUUGACCAGGAUAGCCGUCAUAUGGCAGUUGGUUCAAUUCGAAGACCCUAUUCAAACGGUCAUUCGACCCGCGGAUCUCCCAGCUGCGCUGGCCCUCGGUCCUCGGCACAUAACGCCCAACAAGCCGCACCGCCUCAUCCUCAGCUUCACGCACAAAGGCGGCCGGAUCACGGUUUCGCAGAUUUAGCGCGAAGGCGGGACUCCGCACCAUCUCUCCACCACGGAAAGGCAUCUGGCGAGGGCAUACUUCGCCCAACGCCCAACCAUGCGCCAAGGGCCAUACCCCGUACGCCACAAACUCUUCAACCAAGUCGUGCCCACUGCUUUGGCCGGCGACUUCAAAGGGCGGGUACGCCGAGUAAAAAUAAGAGCACAUCUCGGACACGGGAAGUCCCUCGUGGCCUUCGACGGUACCCUCAGCAACGUAAAACCAAAAUUCAUUCCAGUUGCCCCACUUGUUGCGGGCGCAAGGGACCAACUCGACUACUGGCAUCGUGGUCUUGCCGGUCUUCGGCGUGAAUGUGCAGGACCCAAACUGAGCAACUUCGUCCCCGAUCAUCCUCUUCUGCCAGUGUAAACAAUAAUGCUUCGCAAAAACUUCGACCGAUGGCUGUCCGCCGUACGAAGUCGUCGCCCAGACAUACUUCGACAGGGCCACCACGGCAUUCGGCGUCAGCUGAUGUAUUUGCACGUUGAACCUGCGCAGGACUUCGCCAACAAACCGAUGCGCAGGCAAGCGGAGACCGGCGGCGAAAAACGCCUCGAAAACAACCAACUCGCCCUCCGGCUCGGGGACUUUCUCCGUCCCCGGGGCACGGGCAACUCCGCCGCCGAAGUAGCCCAACCGCUGCAUAUCCUCCACGCGGGCCGACGACAUUCGCGACACGUCGAAAUCAACAGAAUCGUCGGCGCGCAACUCCUCCGGCAUCAAACUGCUCAGCGUCUCCUCCGAUGAGGCGGCGGCCGGCGGCGAGGAACCGGCCGGCGGCGUAGCGGCAACGGAAGAAGAGGAAGACGGCAUCGCUACGUACCGUCGGCGGCGGGCAGUCUGCUUCACUCGCGCCAGAUCUUCGGCGAACAAGAGCACGGCGGGCAGACGAGCAGCAAGACGGCGGGCGGCUAGGGUUUUCGCGGAGCGCGGAAAGUAAAGUUCAAAAAGCGCCGGCCCCCGCCCCCUUUUAUAGGCAGGGCGCUGCUCUUCGGGAAACCCGCAAUCCAAUAGAGCGCGGCGCUUCGGGGAACCCGCAAUCCAACAGUACGCGGUCAAUCAACGGUCACAUCAAAAACCCCCGCGGAACCACUUCGAGCAAGGGCAGCGUCUCCGCCAUCUAGCGACGUCUUCGGCACCAGGUGACUUUGUCGAACUGGUCCCUCGGAGGGCAGAUGUUGGAGCGAAGGCAGAAACGCCACCCUUCGCUCGAAGUCUCCGCUGCUUAGCCGCUGCUCUGACAGACAAAGCAGGCAGGGACACCCUUCACUUGAUCGGCACCAGACGAAGACCGGCGACGAAGGCAUCCCACAGUGCGGCCUCGUCCAGCUCAGAGGCCCACGUGCGUCCCGACCCAUUGUAACGGGCCCUGCGUGGCCGCCGCGUGUUACGGGCCUAAUUUGUAAAGGCAUCCCUGUAAUUACAGUCUGUAACCCUGCUUUAUGGGAAUAUUCUGGGGAUAACCUAGGUAGCUGAGGGCACAUGCGUCCUUAACACAAGGCGCUGGGCGUUCAGGUACCUAUAAA
rnacentral:lncRNA from 1 species